rnacentral:rRNA from 1 species
GACGAACGCUGGCGGCGUGCUUAACACAUGCAAGUCGAGCGGAAAGGCCCUGCUUUUGUGGGGUGCUCGAGUGGCGAACGGGUGAGUAACACGUGAGUAACCUGCCCUUGAUUUUGGGAUAACUUCAGGAAACUGGGGCUAAUACCGGAUAGGAGCUCCUGCUGCAUGGUGGGGGUUGGAAAGUUUCGGCGGUUGGGGAUGGACUCGCGGCUUAUCAGCUUGUUGGUGGGGUAGUGGCUUACCAAGGCUUUGACGGGUAGCCGGCCUGAGAGGGUGACCGGCCACAUUGGGACUGAGAUACGGCCCAGACUCCUACGGGAGGCAGCAGUGGGGAAUAUUGCACAAUGGGCGGAAGCCUGAUGCAGCAACGCCGCGUGCGGGAUGACGGCCUUCGGGUUGUAAACCGCUUUCGCCUGUGACGAAGCGUGAGUGACGGUAAUGGGUAAAGAAGCACCGGCUAACUACGUG